UUUACACAUUACAUUUACUACAUAAUUUCGCACGUAUCCAGAAACUAGUUAUUGCUAUAUACAUAUAACUACCAAAUGUAUUGAAUGGGAAAUACUUAAAUAGCCUUCCCAAUAUAUGUUAUCACAUUAUUAGCCAUAAGGUUACCGCACAAAACAAAUCUAGAGGUGUGAUAAAUAAAUAAAACUCACCCAUGGCCAACUAACCUCCACUCUAUAUUCUAUAGCUUAGACAUAGUAUAUCAUGCCAACUUCAAUGAGACUAAUGUGAGGAAUAUUAAGUGCCACAGCAGGACCCCUACAGUUUUUGCGCAGAAAUGAAUAACCAAUGUCGAUAACUAGCUUCUUCAUGAAAGAAGCUGAUCUCCUCGCCUUCACGUAAGAGUGUCCCAUUAUAUAUGCAACACCUGCAUCUUUUGCAUCUAUUAGAUCUGAAAGCUCAUCCCGAACAGCUGGAUCCAUGCCAGGGUUUUCUGGCAAGCGAAACCUUACUCUGCGCCUCCUCAUCUGUGGGUUCUCAUCAUCACCAGCAGAUCUUAGACUUUGGAGCGUUAAAGAUUUGCUGCUUUGAAUGGAGUUAGUAAUACCAUAAUCCUCCUCUGAGACGAGUAAUGUUGAGCCUGACUGUACACUUCUUGUGCUUAUGACUGCCAUCCUUCCAUCAAAUGAUGGACUCUCGGAGCUUGAGAGUUGUGGUUCUACAGCUUCCAUUUGGAUGAACUCUGCUAUACUCUGGAUGAGAAGGUCCUCAAAGUUCCCAUUGUCUCGCUGUAUGUCCUUGUAACCAUAUCUGGCAAUGCAACGGUACAUGCGAUAGGGUCUUGGGCAGAUGCGACCAAUGAGGAAGCGCUCCUCGGGUGGGACAAAUGGUACUGGAACAGAUUUGACACAUACAAACACCAUCACAUUGUGAAAUGCAGGGAGAUUUGUAACAAAGUGAGAGAAGAUGGAUGGAAUUCCUGUUGCCAAUUCAGAGUAUAUCAGCCCUAUCCCCAGCCUCGGUAUUGUUCGUGUGCCAGGGAUAGGGCUGAUAUACUCU
rnacentral:misc_RNA from 1 species